rnacentral:rRNA from 1 species
UACAGGGGGUGCAAACGUUGCUCGGAAUUAUUGGGCGUAAAGCGCACGUAGGCGGUUUCGUAAGUGUGGUGUGAAAUCUGCGGGCUUAACCCGCAGUGGUCGCUGCAGACUGCGAGACUGGAGGGCUGGAGAGGAAGAUAGAAUUCCCGGUGUAGUGGUGAAAUGCGUAGAUAUCGGGAGGAAUACCAGUGGCGAAGGCGGUCUUCUGGCCAGUUUCUGACGCUGAGGUGCGAAAGCUAGGGGAGCGAACGGG